AGAAAGAUAGACCUCUUUGCUCCCCUUCAGCUCAAAUAUCAUCUUACACAUGUGAUAAUAAACAGCCCUGUAAAUGAAAGCAAAAGCAAGUUUCAGGGGAUUUCCCAACCUUCAAUACUUCCGUCAACAGAAUAAGACUCGCAGGAGUUUCUUCAUCGGUGUCUCAGAGGUCCAGAAAUAAAAUAAAAAAUGACUGAAUUUCAAGAGAAGAAAAUUGUACAUGGUGUAAGCCGUUUAAGUAGUAAAGAAGCACUUCCUCCAACAAUGGGAAGUGAGAGCAGUUCCACACAACAGAUAAAGAAAUGUCCUGCUGUGGAGUCAAAGGUACCAAUACAAGCAGUCAUAUUAGCAGCAGCAGCACCACCACCACCACCUGCAGCAGGUAGAACACAUUAGAGCACCAGACCCCAAGCACAAUCAACUCAAAGAUGGCAAGAAAAAAAGUAGAAAAAUGAUAAAAUUUAAUAAAAUGUAAUUAAAGUUUAAAACAUAUAAUUGCUAUUGGUCUAUUAGGGUUAAACAACAUUACAGAGAAUUUUUGUUUGUCCAAAAUUGAAAUUGUUUGUUGUAAAACUCUUGUCAUGUAAGAGUAUGACAGUGUGAAAUUUUUGUUUAGGUUUGUCUGAAAGUUUUUCUGACAAAAUUUCUUGUAAGCAUUUUCAACUGCACUUUAAAAUGUCUGUUUCUAUGCCAUAAAACGCUUUAUAAUGAUGCUGGACUCAAGAGGCCCUAAACCAAUUCUGAUUAUUUGUAAUAUUGGAUCACAACACAAACCUCAAUCUUUGUUAUUUUUACUUUGAUCUUAAAGGUGCAGUGUGUAAAUCUUAGAACCAUCUAGUGGUGAGGUUGCGAACUGCAACCAAUGGCUUAGUCCACGGCUCACCCCUCGCUUUUGAAACACAUAGAGAAGCUACGGUAGCCGCCACCGGACAAAAAUGUCAUCGUCAGAGAUAACUUAGUAAAAAGAAAUUGUCCGUUAAGGGCUUCUGUAGAAAAAUGGCAGCACAAAAUGGCUACUUCCAUGUAAGAGGACCCUCUGUGUAUGUAGAUAAAAAUGUCUCAUUCUAAGGUAAUAAACACAAAAGGCUUCUAAAAAUUACACACUGCACCUUUAAGGUUUGGCCCUAUUAGCAAACUCUACCUGUUUUGCUUAGACUGUGUGAUUACUAUACAAAAGUGAGAUUAUGUCACAGCUCAUAGAUAUAAUUACAUCUGUAUGCAGAGAUGGGCAUAAAUUCAUGGAAAUGUAUUUCAAAUACAAAUACGAAAUACUGUGUCGAAAAAUGUAUUUAAUACAAAUACAAAAUACUGUGAGGACAAAUGUAUUUAAAUACAAAUACAGUAUUUUGUAUUUUGAAAAUACACAAAAUACAUGUGAAAUUGGUGAUUCAGUGCAAGUAUCCUUAUUAGGCUGAAAUCUGGGUCUAUUUCUGAAUGCCAAAAAGCAUUUAGAUGUGUGCAACUGCUUAGAAACUUUCAUUUUAUUUUACGUACCUCUUGCUUUCCCCUGCCCUGUAGGAAAUAAAAAACUAGUGUCAUGUCAUGGUUAUGAAGAUGUCAUGUCAGCUUUAUGAACACCCAUUCAAGUAAAGUGAUGUUUUAUAAAAACAUCAUAAAAACUUUUUAAUGUGUCGUCGACCCACAACCUAAACAGUUUACAUGUGAAGAAAUCCAUGUAUUUACUUCUCACAAGAUGAGUGUUUGACAAAUUAUUCAUCGCUGCUUUUUGAUGGUUUUACUCAUGAGUCGCCCUCUGUCAUUUACAGAAUUAUACAACGAAGAGCACGUCAAGCAUAAAAGACUUGUAGGUUUACUGAGGAGCCCGCAGGUUCAGCAGGUUCACGCCAUAAAGUAUAGCCAUGCGAAUUGCAAACGUGUAAACAAGGCUUCAACUGCACAAAGAUAAAAAGAAAUCAGCAACUGUGUGCUGAUUCCACCACUUGCCACGUCACGUGUGAAAGGGCCUUUAAAGGAAAACACCACCGUUUUUCAAUAUUUUACUAUGUUCUUACCUCAACUUAGAUGAAUGAAUACAUGCCUAUCUUUUUUCAAUAUGUGCUCUUCAUCUUUGCCAGCGUCAUGAAUAUGUUAGCAUUUAGCAUAGUCCCAUUUAUUCCUUAGGAUCUAAUCAGGGAAGAAUUUAGAAGCCACCAAACACUUCCAUGUUUUCCCUAUUCAAAGACUGUUACAUGAGUAGUUACAUGAGUAAGUAUGGUGGCACAAAAUAAAACGUGAUUUUUAAGUGAAUAAAAAAUGAGAACUAUAUUGUAUGGGGGAAGAGCACUUAGUUUGCAGCACUUCAACCUCUGGCGCAGUAACAUCAUCACUCCUGUGAAGAUCUUACUGCGUGCUGAGGUCGAAAUGCUGCAAUUUGCAAACUAAGUGCUCUUCCUCCAUGCAGCCUGAUGCUGUGCGCACCUGUGGUAGAUGUAAUGUUUCGGCGCAGCAUCAGGCGCAAAUGGGUUAAUUUGUCUAAGUUGAGGUAAGAACACAGUAAAAUAUUACAAAAUUUUGUUUUUCAUUUAAGUCAAAAGUCUAGGCCUAUUUGUCAGCCUUCCACACUCUGUCUCAAUCGUGCAACGUGCAAGUGCAACUGCAACGUGCAACUACCUGCCAACGUGCAAGUGUGCAUUUGAAUUUCCUUUCACGACAGUUAUAAUAACACAAAUCACAUCACACCCAAUAAUUCAAUCGCCCUUGCUUUUUCCCCCACUCCAACAUUUCAAUUAUUGCCCACUAAAAGCUGCACAGAUAUAUUUGCUUACCUGAACUCUGGUGUCUGGUCUGAACUAGUUGAUGCAUGAAAACAGCACCCUGACUGGUUGACUGGCUCAAAGUAUUUUGAGUAUUUUAAAAAUACAAAAAUACUCAUCUUAAAUGUAUUUAAAUACAAAUUACAUUUCAUUUUUUUCAAAGGCUUUAAAAUACAAAAUACAAAAUACUAUUUUGUAUUUCAAAUACGUAUUUUAAAUACAUGUAUUUGAAAUACUGCCCAUCCCUGUCUGUAUGAAAAUAUUAAAGGUUCUGUAUGUAGCAUUAAAGGUGUAACAUAAGUCUUCGAUAACUUUGAACAGUUAGGCACUAGAUGGCACACUGGAGUUAACUAUAAAAAUAUCCUUACAAAAUAUGUGUUAGUCAUUCUCUUUAAACUGUGUACAUUUUGUUUGUAUUUGCUUCUGCUGUAUUAAUAAAUGUUAUACUGUCAUGUUACAUUUUC